rnacentral:rRNA from 1 species
AUGAGGAUGGCGCUGGAGUUUAGCACAUGCUGGUUGCGUCGCAGAGAGCAGGAGCUAGUGGGAUACACAGUGAUCGGUCAUGGAGCUUCCUUGUAUCAGACUACUUUGGCACAUACAUAUGUCAAGCCUGCUGCAAGCAGGCCAGUGAUGCGGCGAGGAAAAGAAGAGGCCGUCGCUGUAGCCAACAAUGUCCGUAAAGAAGAGCUUGGUCACAUCCACGCUCCCAUCCCAUGGUGUGGCAGAACUGAACACAGUUACAGUAACAGAAGCAGCAGAAUAUCAAAUGGCCGAGGUUUUUCAAGUCUGGGGUUGGCUUUCAUUUUGUCCUAUGGUCACCGUUUCAACCUCCCUUACUGA